rnacentral:rRNA from 1 species
AUUGAACGCUGGCGGCAGGCCUAACACAUGCAAGUCGAACGAGUGGCGGACGGGUGAGUAAUGUAUGGGAACCUGCCCGAUGGAGGGGGAUAACUACUGGAAACGGUAGCUAAUACCGCAUACAAUCGGAUGUGCCCACAUGGGAGUAGCUAGUAGGUGGGGUAACGGCUCACCUAGGCGACGAUCCCUAGCUGGUUUGAGAGGAUGACCAGCCACACUGGGACGGAGACACGGCCCAGACUCCUCCGGGAGGAAGCAGUGGGGAAUAUUGAACAAUGGGCGCAAGCCUGAUGCAGCCAUUCCGCGUGGAUGAAGAAGGCCUUAGGGUUGUAAAGUACUUUCAGCGGGGAGGCGGUACCCGCAGAAGAAGCACCGGCUAACUCCGUGCCAGCAGCCGCGGUAAUUC